CGCGGGGUGGAGCAGCCCGGUAGCUCGUCAGGCUCAUAACCUGAAGGCCGCAGGUUCAAAUGCGGCGCAGCAUCCGGCGCCGUGA
rnacentral:tRNA from 1 species